rnacentral:lncRNA from 1 species
UAUGGCAUUGAGAUAUAGUGUUAAAAGAAAUUAUGUGUUUAUGAAUAAAACGUCAAAUGAUUUGGUAUUGGGCUAUGCACUUAAGACAUGAAAAUGCAAAUUGAUUUAGUUGAUAGUUGAGUCACAUAAUGAUUGUAUUGACACUAUGUUUCUAUUGAUUAUUGAUUUAAAUCAUGAAAGUAUCAUUAAGUCCUAUCAUUCAGUGUAUGGUUUGUUUAUUUUCGUGUGCAGGUACUGUAGAUCUCAAAGUUCCAAAUAGCUUGGUAGUAUCUAGUUUCAAUUGUCAACUUAAAAAGUUCAUGAGGGUCAUUAGUAAGAUCGAAACUAGGUUUGGUUUCCCCACUUACUGGUCCUUACCACAUGAAGACAAUUGCUUGCAAAGUUAGCCUAUUGACUUAGGCAUUGCUUCGCAAUAGUUCAAAUGGUUAAGGGCGGGGCGUAUUCUAGAAUUGGCGGAAAUCGUUACUGUUAGAGAUGUCUUCCAAUAAUGUUUGCAAGGACUAAGUCCGAAUGGCCGCCAAGCUAACGACUUUAUAUUAUGGGCGGAUUCUCGGAAUAGCCCUUCUAUUGAAACAACUUGGCCC